GACGUAGGGCGCGAGCGUUGUCCGGAUUUAUUGGGCGUAAAGAGCUCGUAGGCGGUUUGUUGCGUCGGCUGUGAAAUCCCGAGGCUCAACCUCGGGUCUGCAGUCGAUACGAGCAAACUAGAGUGUUGCAGGGGAGACUGGAAUUCCUGGUGUAGCGGUGAAAUGCGCAGAUAUCAGGAGGAACACCAGUGGCGAAGGCGGCACUCUGGGCCAGUACUGACGCUGAGGAGCGAAAGCGUGGGGAGCGAACAGG
rnacentral:rRNA from 1 species